rnacentral:rRNA from 1 species
UUUAUUUUGAGAGUUUGAUCCUGGCUCAGGAUGAACGCUGGCGGCGUGCUUAACACAUGCAAGUCGAGCGAAGCGCUUAAGAAAGAUUCUUCGGAGGAAAUCUUAUGUGACUGAGCGGCGGACGGGUGAGUAACGCGUGGGUAACCUGCCUCAUACAGGGGGAUAACAGUUAGAAAUGACUGCUAAUACCGCAUAAGCGCACAGUGCCGCAUGGCACCGUGUGA